GCCAAACAAAAAAGGUUUUUUCAGCAUUAUCUGUUUAAAUUUUUCAACAUAUUUAUAAGCCAUUUGUUUUUCUUUUUUAAUUUUCUGUUCAAGUUCUUUACCCAUUUUAAACAUUUUUUGAUAUAUAUCUUUUUUCCAUUAAUUGAUAAGAAUUGUUUAAACAGGAAAAAUCAACAUUUUGUCACAUAUGCUACAAAUAUUUUUCAUGUGACUGAAGACUUUAAUUAUUUUACAAGUAUUAGGGGAAAUAAAGCAAGACAGAGACUUCCCUGAAGAACUCACACAUAUGCUUCAAAAGAAAGCCAGUGUUUUUGUUGCCAAUCAGUGUUGGCCUGAGGAGUAGCAGCAACCAAGGUGGGAAGUCCAUUUGCACAUGAGCUAACCUGCCAUCUUUUCUAUCAAAUCCAACCACAGACAAGGCAAGAACUUCGAGAGGUGAGAGGAAAUAAAAGAAAUGGUUUCACCCCUUGCUCUGAGGUGCUGGUGGGAAGAGAAUGUGAAGCCUCCUGCAGGAACAUGGAAGAUGGGUCCUGCGACAAGGAGGGAGAAAGUCCACUAAAAGAAAUAAGGACUCCUUGGAGAAUUGACUGAUUCCUGCUCACUACAAGUAGAAAGAAUCCCUCUAACCUCUGAAUCCUCAUGGUGCUGUACAUUCAUUUAGUGGAAAUAACAGUACCCUGCUCUAUGCCAAGGCUAUCAGGGUUAUCUCUGUCAACACCAGUGAUUUUAGAGAGAAUGACAAAUAUAGAAGAUGUGGAAGACAAGUACUGGACAUGUCCUGAUCAAGACAAAUAUUGAAAGGAAUACAGAUGGGAAAAAAUUGAUCCUAACUGGAAGCUAUAUGGCUGCCAUGAAAAUUAAAUCCUGGUGAGUUUCUCAAUAUGUGAACUAUUGUACUCUUACAGAGAAAUCUAGGCACAGGCUAGGACUGAGAUUCAGGACAGAAAAAAUGACCCAUAAUAGUUUAAAACCAUGAAACAGACAGUGAUGGAUAAUUCAUCUAAUAAUCCAAUUCGCCAAGUGUUACAUACUUAAGUUCUAAGUAAAGGAACCACUGAACUAGAAUGGCAGUUAGAGGAAAUCCAAAAUUCUGAAAGUAGUAGGGGCCAAAAGGAAUUAAGGUCACCUGUCAAAAGGAAUGAUACUAAGAGUAAUGCUAGGAAUCUAGACUCACAUGAAUCCAGUGAUCACAAAACACAUCCUACUGGUAACAGAGAAAUACACCUAAAGAAUAAAUGUGGUCGGUUCUAUAAAAAUGCAUCAUCUUCCCUGGGAAAGAAACUGAAAACAUACUUCUUUAUUUGUGUUGUUUAAAUCUACAGUAACCAAAAGGGCUAUCU
ensembl:lncRNA